UGGGUGACACAUUUUGGUGCAAAUCGGACUUAUGGACAAAUUUAACUACAGCAACCGGCAAAUGAUGCAGCAUGAGGGUGAUUGUCUUCUUAGCGUAAGUAUUUUAUCAUAUCUCUAUCAAUGAUCUCCUCACAUACAAAUCAUACAGUAUACUGUUCUAUACUUUUUCCUACAGAAGUCAGACUAUUUGUUCUUCUUGGCAUAUACAUUUUGACUACAUGAACUGAGUUUCUGAUACAGUUGCCAUUUAGGUUGAACAAUUCAUACUUUGUUGCUCAAUUUGGGCUUGAUAUUAUGUAGGUCUUAAAUUAUUUCUUAGUAUGUAUGUUUUUGCUUGAAUAUUUAUCUGCGUUGUACAUUGCUUUUGAAGGCAAACUGAUGAUAUGUUGUUAAUUAUUAAAGCACCCAAAGUUCUAAUGUACCACGAGAUUUUGCAAGUUAGUAAUAUUGCAUUUCUAUGACAUUUUAACAAACAAAUUUUCAUCUGUAUAUUGGAUCUAUCUUGCUAUAAAUUGUUGUUAUUUCUUAACACAAUCUGUUCAGAUCUGAGGAAGAGAAGGAAGGCCCCAAGUUAAUUUAUAGAGAAUCAAAAAGGAAGAAGGCACAGGAAUAAGAGAACAAGGCGACUCUGGGUCGGCUCUCGUGGUGGCGCUGGGUGAAGGAGAUAAUGGGGCUGUUGUUGGGUGGAGGAGGGGGCUUGGGGUGUUGCCUAGAGCGCAGAUGAUGGGUUGCAGUAGUGCAAGCCAUGCCUUGUAAUAAUGAGCAAUCACCGUGUAGUCAAUUUUAC